rnacentral:rRNA from 1 species
AAUCAACGCUGGCGGCGUGCCUCAGACAUGCAAGUCGAACGAUUAAAGCUCUCUUCGGAGAGUGCAUAGAGUGGCGCACGGGUGAGUAACACGUAAGUAAUCUACCUUCGAGUGGGGAAUAACGUCCGGAAACGGACGCUAAUACCGCAUAAUGCAGCGGCACCUAAUGGUGACAGUUGUUAAAGGAGCAAUCCGCUUGAAGAGGAGCUUGCGGCAGAUUAGCUAGUUGGUAAGGUAACGGCUUACCAAGGCUACGAUCUGUAACCGGUCUAAGAGGACGGUCGGUCACACUGACACUGAAUAACGGGUCAGACUCCUACGGGAGGCAGCAGUCGGGAAUUUUGGGCAAUGGGCGAAAGCCUGACCCAGCAACGCCGCGUGAAGGAUGAAGUAUUUCGGUAUGUAAACUUCGAAAGAA